AUACGUAGGGUGCAAGCGUUAAUCGGAAUUACUGGGCGUAAAGCGUGCGCAGGCGGUUUUGUAAGACAGAGGUGAAAUCCCUGGGCUCAACCUGGGAACUGCCUUUGUGACUGCAGGGCUAGAGUACGGCAGAGGGGGAUGGAAUUCCGCGUGUAGCAGUGAAAUGCGUAGAUAUGCGGAGGAACACCGAUGGCGAAGGCAAUCCCCUGGGCCUGUAGUGAAGCUCAUGCACGAAAGCGUGGGGAGCAAACAGGAUUAGAUACCCGGGUACUCCACUCCCUAAACGAUGUCAACUGGUUGUUGGGUCUUCAUGGACUCAGUAACGAAGCUAACGCGUGAAGUUGACCGCCUGGGGAGUACGGCCGCAAGGUUGAAACUCAAAGGAAUUGACGGGG
rnacentral:rRNA from 1 species